AUUUUAUGAAAACCCUCUUGACAGUCUCUUAGAUGGUAUUUAAGAUGGAAAUAACUGUCCUUUUGGGGGAAAAGAUAAAUUAGUUGAGAUAGGCUG